AUAGCACUUCGUGGUAUAAAACGGAAAAUCCAUUUUUUGUUGCAGUUUUCGGCGAUAAGAGGGUCUGUAAGUCUCGUUUGGUUUCACUUUCGGUUUUACUACUUCCCGGUACAACAACAUGUGGAAUAUAUAAAGUCGUAACAGAGAAUCGGCGCCAAUAUGUAAUUUGGUGUAUUGUUAAGCGAUCGGCUGCAUACAUGAGACUGGAAAAACCCUGCCAUGUAGUUUAUUUAGGUUCCUAGUCGAUGCUACAGUAAGGAAGCGGUGGAUAUAAAGAUGUAGACACAAAGUUACGAAACCUGCUGAAGCAGAAGCAUCUGCUUCAAACGUACAUGUAGGAACCGAAGUUGAUACUGCUACCAACAUAUCUGUACCAGACAACAAUGAAGUGCAUCUACAUGAUCACGAGUAUACAGCACCAAACCCUCAACAUUUAAAAAGCUUCCCUUGAAGACUAUGAUGUUGUAAACUUGCAGUGAGAAAUAUACCUGCUUAAUUAAAGGAAACCAUCCUUGACAAUUGGGAACAUCAUAAUUGAAAGACCCUGGAAAGGGAUCAUGAACACUGUUGGGAGUGUCCAUUCAACUGAAAUAUAAAAGUCAGAAGAAUUGAAGAUUGCAUUGGAUGCAACAGAAGUGACCUAAUAUGACCAAAUUGAUAUGAAUAGCCAGUUUUUCGCUUGCAGUAAUGACAAGAGUCGCCACAAAGAAAAGACCUUAAUGUGUAUUACACCUAAUGCAGCUUAUUUCCAAUCUGUAUGCUGGAUACAAAUCUAAUUUGGCAAUUGUGAACCAUUGUGGCAUUUUAGAGAAGUUGCAAGUUGGUGAUAUAUUCCUGGCGGACAAAGGAUUUUGUAUAUUUGACAAACUUCCAAAUGACAUGACACUUAAUAUCCCAUUCUUUCUUACAAAUAAAUCCUACUUCUCAAAAGAGGAUGCACAACUUUGCUAUAAAAUUUCCAGAUGCAGAAUCCAUGUUGGAUGGGAAAAUGAGAGAAUAAUUUUUUUUUUUUAAAUUCCUUAGCCAUAUUCUAUCAUAGUCAAGAUAUUGAUCUGACAAAAUAUUUCAGAUUUGUGUGGAUCAUGUGAAUUUGCAGGUUCCCCUUUUGAAGGAGAUUCCAGAUAAAUCCUACAAACUUAUUAGAUUAAUUGCAUGUAUAUAUAUACCUUAAAUCUGCACAUACCUGCCACAUUGAAUUUUAAAGUUAAAAGUAAUGAAUACCAUAUAUGCAAUAUAACGUUUCUACAUAUUUAUAUAAAUAUAAAGCCUUUUAUAUUCAUAUGAAUAUAAAGCCCUUUGGAACGUCUCCAUCAGAAUGAAAUAUUCUCGAGAGGAAUGUUAAACAAUAUACAUGUACAAUCAAACAUAAAGCCUUUUGUUCUCAUUCUGAAGGUUUUCAAAUCUGCAUUAUUAAAAAAGAAGUAAAAUCCAUUGUUUUAGUAAAUGCAUGUAAUUGAAUGAUUUUUGUAAAGCUGGACACUGUGUCUAUACAUACAUGUAUUUUGGUUCAUCUAAAAUAAGAAAAACUGUCUAUAAUGUUUAUUCAAUAAAUAUACAUGUAAUUACAUAAUUUUGAUAGAUGCACCACUGAUAUCAUAAUAAAGUAUAUGUACAUGUG